rnacentral:rRNA from 1 species
AAAGUUCCCUUCGGGGAGCGAGUAGAGUGGCGCACGGGUGAGUAACACGUAGGUAAUCUACCUUUGGAUGGGGAAUAACAACCGGAAACGGUUGCUAAUACCGCAUAAUGCAGCGGCACCUAAUGGUGACAGUUGUUAAAGCGGGGGAUCGUAAGACCUCGCGUCUAAAGAGGAGCCUGCGGCAGAUUAGCUAGUUGGUAAGGUAACGGCUUACCAAGGCGAUGAUCUGUAGCCGGCCUGAGAGGGCGGUCGGCCACACUGACACUGACAUACGGGUCAGACUCCUACGGGAGGCAGCAGUCGGGAAUUUUGGGCAAUGGGCGAAAGCCUGACCCAGCAACGCCGCGUGAAGGAUGAAAUCCUUCGGGAUGUAAACUUCGCAAGAACAGGAAGAAUAAACCGGUGACAAUACCACCGGCGAUGACGGUACUGUUUGUAAGCUCCGGCUAACUCCGUGCCAGCAGCCGCGGUAAUACGGGGGGAGCAAGCGUUGUUCGGAUUUACUGGGCGUAAAGGGCGGGUAGGCGGCCACCGCAAGUCAGUUGUGAAAUCUCUGGGCUUAACCCAGAAAGGUCAACUGAUACUGCGGGGCUAGAGUGCAGAAGGGGCAACUGGAAUUCUCGGUGUAGCGGUGAAAUGCGUAGAUAUCGAGAGGAACACCUGCGGCGAAGGCGGGUUGCUGGGCUGACACUGACGCUGAACUGCGAAAGCUAGGGGAGCGAACGGGAUUAGAUACCCCGGUAGUCCUAGCCUUAAACGAUGAAUGCUUGGUGUCUGGGGUUUUAUAGUCCCCGGGUGCCGUCGCUAACGC